rnacentral:rRNA from 1 species
CCACUCGGGUGGGAUAGACUGCGAGUUGUGCGUCUCUAAGCUAUGGUAGAGACGCGGCGUACGGCUCAGUAACACGUGGCUAACCUACCCUUAGGACGGGGACAACCCCGGGAAACUGGGGCUAAUACCCGAUAGGUGAGGAGGCCUGGAAUGGUUCCUAGUCGAAAAGGCGUUGAAACCAUGCUUUUCGACGUCGCCUAAGGAUGGGGCCGCGCCCGAUCAGGUUGUUGGUGGGGUAACGGCUCACCAAGCCUAUAACCGGUACGGGCCGUGAGAGCGGGAGCCCGGAGAUGGGCACUGAGACAAGGGCCCAGGCCCUACGGGGCGCAGCAGUCGCGAAAACUCCGCAAUGCGCGAAAGCGCGACGGGGCUACCCCGAGUGCCGUCCGCUGAGGAUGGCUUUUCCCCGGUGUAAUGAGCCGGGGGAAUAAGGAGAGGGCAAGUCUGGUGUCAGCCGCCGCGGUAAUACCAGCUCUCCGAGUGGUAGGGAUGAUUAUUGGGCUUAAAGCGUCCGUAGCUGGCUUAGCAAGUCUCCUGUUAAAUUCGGCGACCUAAUCGUCGAGCCGCGGGAGAUACUACUAGGCUAGGAGGCGGGAGAGGCCGACGGUAUUCUCGGGGUAGGGGUGAAAUCCUAUAAUCCCGGGAGGACCACCAGUGACGAAGGCUGUCGGCUAGAACGCGCUCGACGGUGAGGGACGUAAGCUGGGGGAGCGAACCGGAUUAGAUACCCGGGUAGUCCCAGCUGUAAACUAUGCAAACUCAAUGAUGCAUUGGCUUGUGACCAAUGCAGUGUUGCAGGGAAGCCGUUAAGUUUGCCGCCUGGGAAGUACGUACGCAAGUAUGAAACUUAAAGGAAUUGGCGGGGGAGCACCACAAAGGGGUGAAGCCUGCGGUUCAAUUGGAGUCAACGCCGGG